GGAGCAACACUUGUGCGUGAAGUGGGUCAGGGGAGGAAUCCAGCAGCCCUAAGCGAUUUUCGGGUGUGUGCUCUUUUU
rfam:Streptococcus pyogenes Manfredo complete genome